GAUACGGCCCAGACUCCUACGGGAGGCAGCAGUGGGGAAUAUUGCACAAUGGGCGCAAGCCUGAUGCAGCGACGCCGCGUGAGGGAUGACGGCCUUCGGGUUGUAAACCUCUUUCAGUAGGGACGAAGCGAAAGUGACGGUACCUACAGAAGAAGGACCGGCCAACUACGUGCCAGCAGCCGCGGUAAUACGUAGGGUCCGAGCGUUGUCCGGAAUUACUGGGCGUAAAGAGCUCGUAGGUGGUUUGUCGCGUUGUUCGUGAAAACUCACAGCUUAACUGUGGGCGUGCGGGCGAUACGGGCAGACUAGAGUACUGCAGGGGAGACUGGAAUUCCUGGUGUAGCGGUGGAAUGCGCAGAUAUCAGGAGGAACACCGGUGGCGAAGGCGGGUCUCUGGGCAGUAACUGACGCUGAGGAGCGAAAGCGUGGGUAGCGAACAGGAUUAGAUACCCUGGUAGUCCACGCCGUAAA
rnacentral:rRNA from 1 species